UAUGAUCCACUUUUUAUUUUC
rnacentral:piRNA from 1 species